AAAUCGAUUCGAGAAAUAGAACGCUUAGAAAUGACGCCCUAAACUACGUUUUACCCUGUUUGAAAUUGCAACACUAAAAGUCUUUUCAUCCAUUUUCAAUGUAACCCAAUUAUUGUAUAACGCGACGCGGGUAAAGAUGAAAAAAAAAAUGGUCAAAGAAAUAAAAACUUUGCAGGACAAUCGAAGGAAGUGCGAGAUUUAAGGAUCAUAAUUGUUUUUAAAAAUGAGUUUAACAAAUAGAACGCGAUCGAUUAUUCCGCAACCCUUCAACUGGAAAUCUAAAAAAGACGUAUCAGAUGCACAGAGCUCCAAGCUGUCGGUGAAUGUGCUGCCGCUCACUUCUGCCGCUGCUGCCACAAACUGUACGUUAGCUAGUAUUGAUAAAAUUGCUGAAUAAAAUUCGACUUGAAAUUAAUCGAUCCUUGUAACCCCAGCGAUACCUCGGAGGCGAGAGGGGAGAGAGGGAAGGGCAAAAUCGAAACGAGUUAUUAUUUGAAUUUUGAAGACCGGAUUUUCGACGUUACCAGAUGGAGUUCGAUCACCCUUGAAAUUGUGAAAAGUAGAGUUAUUUCAAUUUAUUGCCGACUUUUUGUACCUCAGUCGGUGUGGAGAAGAUUUUGAACUGAUUUGUUCUUGGUUUUAUGAACAGGCGGAAUGUUAUCCGGCAAUUGUUUUCGAGAAAUCGAGAUAGGACCGUUACGACUGACAGAACGUCGUGAGACUUAACUCGAAACUCAACCAAGCGCUUGCGCAAAUUUUUAGUCAAUAACUUGGACCGCCCCCGCGAUUAUGGAAUUGCACGCUGUAAAAUUCACGAUACAAAUUAGAGACGUAUACGUAUGUGCGGCUAGAUUAUUCUGAAUAUUUUUUUUGAAAUUACCCUAGUUUCUAGACCUGAUCUGUGAAAAAUCACUCCUCUUGAAAAAUUCACAUUCGCAGAAAAUCGUGAUCAGUUUUCAACGCUUUCAGGUAGACGAAAGUUUCAUCAGAUUCGUCUGAUUUUAAGUGACUCAUCGGAGUUUUAAUCGUCAUUUUUAAACAAUCGCUGAACAGCAUGUAGAAUUUUCAAGCCUUAUGAACAGCAGAUGUUGUAGCAGCUUUAAAUUGACAAAGAAGUCUCAUAUAUGCAUUUCCGGUAUCAGUGAUGAAUAGCAGUUAGUGGUUCUGCAGCAACGAAUUCAGACUUACAACAGAGGAUAUUUAGUUCAUCUUUCAGAAGAGAGUAUGGUAAAUUUACUGUUUGAAAAGCUACUAAGAAUUUGGUACCAAUUCACUAACGAGAUGACAAGACGGAUAGCACUACAUAUUCCAAACAAUAGCCUCACAGGUGACUGAUGACAGGAUUUCUAUCUGAGCAGCCUUCAGUGAUGCAAUACCGAUUGCCUCCUUUUAUCCCCAACUCUUCUAUAAAAUAAAGGUACUCGUAGAUACCAAAUGUUUACUGGUGGUCAGAGGAUUAUGAGGUCUCUGGAGUAAUUACUGCGUACCAAUAUUAUUUCACAGUUGGCCACAUAGAUUCGUAUGUGUAGAAUUCAUAGUGUCAAUGCACAAUAAUGUGAUCGUGUGUAAACAGUGUUGUACAUUAGUAACACAAUUUCAUUUGUAACGUUGAUAGUCAUUUUAGAGAUCUGAUUUCAGAUUGAACUUCUGUGCAUCUGAUGCUAUUUUCAACUACACCAUGAAAUAAUUUGAUACUAAUUGUAACUCAUUGGUUGGAUGUUGAAGUUGAUGAUGAUAUAUUUAUCUCCUCAAAGAAGAGAAAGAACCAUGGAGUUCAGCUAUAGCAAGUAAUCGGCUGAAGAACAGUUCCGGUGUACAACUCUUCACAGCUUUGAACAUUAUGUUUCUCAGGGCGUCCUACCUUUUUUGUGACUCACAUGAAAAAUGAAUAUAAUCGCGUAUCGUCCACAAAUAAUUUAUAUUACUUCAUUUUUCGUAUUUUACAAACUAGCUUGGGAACAAUUAUCUCUUCGUGAUCCUGGUUGUAACUCUUGAGUUUGUACAACACUGUAUGAAUAUAAAUUAGGAAAAAUUUGUAUAUCCGUAGAAAUUUAUACAAGGAAUCGUGUAAUGUAUUUGUUUCAAUGCAUGAUGAUUUCUGGAAUUAUCAACUCAUGCGUUUUAGUAUACCUACUUGAUCCAUUCAAAUAUACAAAUCAUGCAUAUGUAUAUAUUUAAAAUUCUGCUGGCCAAAAAAUAAAUUAAAUGAUUGACAAUA